rnacentral:lncRNA from 1 species
GUAUGGCCCUGCAUCUCUGUUUUUUAAAUAUAGAUCCACAAAGGCCUUCAGCUUUGUCCAUUCCUGUGGCUGUUGCUUUGAGGUUUUGUUGUGGAUUCUUUCUCCAAGUCAAGUUUGACAUCUGGAAGCAAGAUGGAACAAAUUCAUCUUUGGAGAAAUCUGCUCAGAAAUCCAGAGACAGGAGGAUAAAGUCCCUGCAUGAGAAUGUAGAUUGUGAAUUGUCCUAAUCAUGUAUUUAUGGGGUACUUGUUAUUUGCCAUGUUCCAUUCAGGGGGAUAAGCAGGCAACAGGGAGCAAAAUAGACAAAAA